rnacentral:rRNA from 1 species
GUUAUAUGGUCAAGCGAAUAAGCGCACACGGUGGAUGCCUUGGCGGUCAGAGGCGAUGAAGGACGUGGCAGCCUGCGAAAAGUAUCGGGGAGCUGGCAACAAGCUUUGAUCCGGUAAUGUCCGAAUGGGGAAACCCACCCGCUUGCGGGUAUCCUGCAGUGAAUACAUAGCUGCUGGAAGCGAACCUGGUGAACUGAAAUAUCUAAGUAACCAGAGGAAAAGAAAUCAACCGAGAUUCCGUAAGUAGCGACGAGCGAACGCGGACUAGCCCUUAAGCUGAUUUGGUUCUAGGAAAAUGCUCUGGAAAGAGCAGCCAUAGAAGGUGAUAGCCCUGUAUCUGAAAGGGCCAUUUCAGUGAAGACGAGUAGGGCGGGGCACGUGAAACCCUGUCUGAACAUGGGGGGACCAUCCUCCAAGGCUAAAUACUACUGACCGACCGAUAGUGAACCAGUACCGUGAGGGAAAGGCGAAAAGAACCCCGGAGAGGGGAGUGAAAUAGAACCUGAAACCGUGUGCGUACAAGCAGUAGGAGCUCCGCAAGGAGUGACUGCGUACCUUUUGUAUAAUGGGUCAGCGACUUACUGUUCGUGGCAAGCUUAACCGUAUAGGGGAGGCGAAGGGAAACCGAGUCUGAUAAGGGCGCAUAGUCGCGGGCAGUAGACCCGAAACCGGGUGAUCUAGUCAUGCCCAGGGUGAAGGUGCGGUAACACGCACUGGAGGCCCGAACCCACUCCCGUUGCAAAGGUAGGGGAUGAGGUGUGAUUAGGAGUGAAAAGCUAAUCGAACCCGGAGAUAGCUGGUUCUCCUCGAAAGCUAUUUAGGUAGCGCCUCAUAUGUAUCCUCUCGGGGGUAGAGCACUGUUAUGGCUAGGGGGUCAUCGCGACUUACCAAACCAUUGCAAACUCCGAAUACCGAGACGGACUGUAUGGGAGACACACGGCGGGUGCUAACGUCCGUCGUGAAAAGGGAAACAACCCAGACCCACAGCUAAGGUCCCAAAUUCACUGCUAAGUGGAAAACCAUGUGGAAAGGCACAGACAGCCAGGAGGUUGGCUUAGAAGCAGCCACCCUUUAAAGAAAGCGUAAUAGCUCACUGGUCGAGUCGGUCUGCGGGGAAGAUUUAACGGGGCUAAGCAGUGAACCGAAGCUUGGGGUGCAUAACUUUGUUAUGCGCGGUAGAGGAGCGUUCCGUAAGCCGUUGAAGGUGGAUUGAGAAGUCUGCUGGAGGUAUCGGAAGUGCGAAUGCUGACAUGAGUAACGAUAAUGCGGGUGAAAAACCCGCACGCCGAAAGCCCAAGGUUUCCUUGCGCAACGUUAAUCGGCGCAGGGUGAGUCGGCCCCUAAGGCGAGGACGAAAGUCGUAGUCGAUGGGAAGCAGGUUAAUAUUCCUGCACCUCGCGUAAGUGCGAUGGAGGGACGGAGAAGGUUAGGUGUACCAGGCGUUGGUUGUCCUGGGGAAAGGCGGUAGGUUUGGAUCUUUGGCAAAUCCGGGAUCCUUCAAGACCGAGCACCGAGACGAGCCUUUAUGGCGAAGUCACUGAUACCACGCUUCCAGGAAAAGCUCCUAAGCUUCAGCUUACGCAGACCGUACCGUAAACCGACACAGGUGGGUAGGAUGAGAAUUCUCAGGCGCUUGAGAGAACUCGGGUGAAGGAACUAGGCAACAUGGCACCGUAACUUCGGGAGAAGGUGCACCCUUUUUGGUGGCUCGUGCGAGCUAUAGCUGAAGAGGGUCGCAGUAACCAGGCCGCUGCGACUGUUUAUCAAAAACACAGCACUCUGCAAACACGAAAGUGGACGUAUAGGGUGUGACGCCUGCCCGGUGCUGGAAGGUUAAUUGAUGGGGUCAGCCGCAAGGCGAAGCUCUUGAUCGAAGCCCCAGUAAACGGCGGCCGUAACUAUAACGGUCCUAAGGUAGCGAAAUUCCUUGUCGGGUAAGUUCCGACCUGCACGAAUGGCGUAACGACAGCGGCGCUGUCUCCACCCGAGACUCAGUGAAAUUGAAAUCGCUGUGAAGAUGCAGCGUUCCCGUGGCAAGACGGAAAGACCCCGUGAACCUUUACUAUAGCUUUACACUGAACGUUGAGUUCGUCUGUGUAGGAUAGGUGGGAGGCUAUGAAACCAUGGCGCUAGCUGUGGCGGAGCCAUCCUUGAAAUACCACCCUGUCGUGCUUGACGUUCUAACCUGGGCCCAUUAUCUGGGUCGGGGACCGUGUAUGGUGGGUAGUUUGACUGGGGCGGUCUCCUCCUAAAGAGUAACGGAGGAGCUCGAAGGUACGCUCAGCGCGGUCGGACAUCGCGCACUGUGUGCAAAGGCAUAAGCGUGCUUGACUGCAAGAUCGACGGAUCAAGCAGGUAGGAAACUAGGACUUAGUGAUCCGGUGGUUCUGUAUGGAAGGGCCAUCGCUCAACGGAUAAAAGGUACUCCGGGGAUAACAGGCUGAUACCGCCCAAGAGUUCAUAUCGACGGCGGUGUUUGGCACCUCGAUGUCGGCUCAUCACAUCCUGGGGCUGUAGUCGGUCCCAAGGGUAUGGCUGUUCGCCAUUUAAAGUGGUACGCGAGCUGGGUUCAGAACGUCGUGAGACAGUUCGGUCCCUAUCUGCCAUGGGCGUUGGAGAUUUGAGAGGGGCUGCUCCUAGUACGAGAGGACCGGAGUGGACGAACCUCUGGUGUUCCGGUUGUCACGCCAGUGGCAUUGCCGGGUAGCUAUGUUCGGAAGCGAUAACCGCUGAAAGCAUCUAAGCGGGAAGCGCGCCUCAAGAUGAGAUCUCCCGGGGCACAAGCCCCCUGAAGGAACCAUGUAGACUACGUGGUUGAUAGGUCAGGUGUGUAAGUACAGCAAUGUAUUGAGCUAACUGAUACUAAUGAUCCGAGAGGCUUGACCAUAUAACCU